rnacentral:tRNA from 1 species
UGCCCGGUGGUGUAAUUGGUAACACACCAGACUCUGGUUCUGGUAUCCAAGGUUCGAGUCCUUGCCGGGCAA